AAGAGUACAGUUGCUGUAGAGGCCU
rnacentral:piRNA from 1 species